UCUCCCCUCUCCUUCGAAAAAGAAUCUUACCCCAUAGAAAACCAAGCUCUCGUCACUGAAAAAAUUUUUUACAAUUUUAAUUUAAAUUUCUCUCCUCUCCUUGGAAACAGAAUCUUGUCCCCAUAGAAAAUCCAUAGAAAACCGAGCUUUCGUCCCUAUAAAAUUUUUUUACAAUUUUAAUUCAAAAAAAAUCUAAACCUACAAGGAGAGAAAGAGAGAGAGAAAAUCAAGAAUUUAGGUCUGUUUUGUAUACGCGAAACAAAAGAGCCCUUUCUCCCCAUCGACUAAUACAUACGUGAGAGAAUACAUAGAAGAAUACCUCGUUCCGUGGACGAGUGACUGCUGCUCGAUCGCGUAAAUAUUUUUCAUAAAUAAUCUACGUGGGCCGUGCGCGAGAGCGAGAGAGAGAAAGAGAGAGAGAAGCACCUUUGUUCCUUUGUCGAGAGGGGAGGGGGAACAGCUCUUCGUGGCGAUUGUAUUUUAUUCGGUCACGAGGUUGCCAGUUGAUUGUGCAAAUUCUGUUUAUCGGGAACGCGCGUAAAUUCAUGCGUGAAUAAUUUAUGUCAACCCGAGGAGAGAGAGAGAGAAAGAAAGAGAGAGAACACCUUUGUCCCUUUGUCGAUGGAAGCCUCGGGAACUGCGAUAUUUUAUUCCGCGUCGCAACAAUUGUUGCUUGCUCCUCGUCUCGCGAGGAAUUUUCUUCCCUUGCGCAAAUUUAUGUAUAAAUUUACGCGUAAAUAACAAGUGCCCUCUCCCUCCCCCUCCCCUCUCCCUCUCCUCCUCCCCUCCCCUCUUUUAACAAUCGUGAUAAUAUCGUCGUCCCAGUCAUAAUUAAAUCGCGCUCGGAAUAUUCGAUAAGUGCGCGAAUAAUUGCGACCUACUCGUGCCGGGGAACGUGAUUUAACGAGACAACGACGGUGAGAAUAAGAUAAAAAGAAAGGAGAGAGAAAGAGAGAGAGAAAGAGAAAAAAAAAUGUAACGAAGAAAGAUUGAAAAAUAAGAGAGCGAUAUAAACGACUCGAGAACUAGGAGAAUGAAUUGUCGUAUUGACAAUUGAAAGAGAUCUUUACGGUUAUGGAACAGGUUCAAAAAUCAGACGGCGAGGAGAAGUUUAGAUAUAGUCAGAUAUAAUAAUUAUGGAAAUAUAUAUAUAUAUAUAUAGUUUGAAAUAAUACGAACGAAUUCUUUUUAAGAGACGAGGAAGAGGAUUGGACGUAGGUAAAAUAAUUAACCGGAUCGGGGAUAAAAACGAGGGGAAAAAGUAUAGCGUGUAUCUUCUAAAAAUGCUCGUUUAUCUUCCCCGGCCAACUAAUUUAAUUCCUCGAGGUGACCUUCCCCCACCCCUCCUCUCUCGGGAAACCUAACAGAGCGAAGCAUCAAAUAAACAACAUUCCCGUUUCAUAAUGACGCGAGCACGUCGUUACGAACGGCUGGCCACGGCGCAAUUAGAAAAAGAACAGGGAGAAGGAAGGAAGAAGAAAAAAGAAGGAGAAGAAGGAGAGAAGAAAACGCGAUGCGAAGAAGAAGCAAGAAGUUUCGAGUGACGAAUUAUUCGAUUGCACAAUGGUGACCAAUCUUAAAGCGAGACGGAGAGAGGCCAUUAAGGAGAGGCAGGCAGGCAGGCAGGCAGGCCUUAAGGAGAAGAUGGAGAGCAGAGUUUGGGGAGAAAGAAAAUCAGAGGGUAACAUUACCAUUGUAGUGGAAAUACGAAACGAAUGCAAGAGGCGUAGUGAUAAAGAGCACGUGGCAAGAGGGCUAGCUGCGGGCCAUUUGGAAUCGGGCUCGUUCGACGAUUGAGCCGAUGCCAGUACGCCGCGGGCUUCGUUUCAAAAAACGAGACUGGUUCGCACGCGCAGUGCCUUUGCGCGCACGUACGGAUGCAUGUACGAGCAGCAGCUGGUGCAAGCGGCGCGAGCAUUAAGCCGUGGAACUACUUUGUCGGACUAUAUAUACUGGUCCGAAAUCUUGCAUGCACGAACACUUCCAACCAUAAAGGAACUCGCACCAACG
rnacentral:lncRNA from 1 species